rnacentral:ncRNA from 2 species
GAAAUCCACUGGGGGCGCCGAUACGGCUGAGAUAGCAGAAGCUUGUCCCUUUUUACCUGAUCCGGGUUAUGCCGGCGUAGGGAAGUGCUGAUGAUAACAG